CAGCCGCCACGGGAAUACGUAGGUGGCAAGCGUUGUCCGGAAUUAUUGGGCGUAAAGCGCGCGCAGGUGGUUUAAUAAGUCUGAUGUGAAAGCCCACGGCUCAACCGUGGAGGGUCAUUGGGAACUGUUAAACUUGAGUGCAGGAGAGAAAAGUGGAAUUCCUAGUGUAGCGGUGAAAUGCGUAGAUAUAUGGAGGAACACCGGUGGCGAAAGCGGCUCUCUGGCUUGUAACUGACGCUGAGGCUCGAAAGCGUGGGGAGCAAACAGGAUUAGAUACCCCAGUAGUCCCUGUCUCUUAUAC
rnacentral:rRNA from 1 species